CUGGAUUAGGUCCUGGAAUAGAUAAGUAUAUGAUUAUUAAAAAACCUGGUAAAAUAUGAAGGAAGUUUGUAGAUCAGUUAAUAAUCUCGAAAAACAGUUAAAUUCUUAGUUUUCAUGAAUAUGCUAUGGUUAUAAUAUAUAUUAACAUUCUAGUUAGCUGAAUGGUAUAUGAAACUGUCUGUACUUACCUAUGUGCAUUUAUGUAAAUCUGCAGUUAUUUCAAAAUAAAUAUGUUUUUUAAUAUUAUUAUUAUUUUUUUAAGAAAAGUAAGCAAGUAAAGACAUCAGCAAAAAACUUUUGCCUCCAGAUACAAGUGGGCAUGUAGGGAGAGAAUAGUAAACUGGCUUUUCUUUUCUAGGCAACAUUCGAAACCCAGGUGCCACUCCUUCAGGAAGGUACCAUCAAGCUCCAAGGACUCUUAUCCUCUUUCUCCUUCCCCACUACCUAGUCAUUAGAGCGUCAGCAUCCACUUCUUGAAAGGAAGAUGCCUGUUUUUCACAUAUCCCAGAAAACCCCAUUUUAGGACAGCAUUUAGCAGAGUAUAUUCAGGAUCCCACUAACCUUUUUGGAAGACAUGACUUCCAGAUGAUAUAAGGCAAGAAUAAGAAAUUUCAGUGACAGGGAACAGAAAUCAUAUUUCUGCAUUCAGGAUCAUGUUUUCUUGGCUCCAUCAGGAACUGUGCAGGACUGUGCACUCUGUUGAUACUCACAUGGUGGAAUUAUAUUGCCUUUGGCCAACCCUAAAGCCAUCAAGAUAGCAGGUCUGGUCUACCGAGAAGAGAGAUCAAAGAGCUCUUCAGCUGUUCCCAGCUCCCCACACAAAUCUACCUAACAAAGUCCCGAUAAACAGUCUGUUUUCUGGAGUCUAUCAAUACUGAUGAGGUCUUGUUCUUUUGGCCAGGCUGGAGUGCAGUGGUACAGUCGUGACUCACUGCAGCUUCAAACACCUGGGUUCCAGCAUUCAUCCCACUUCAGCCUCCCGUGUAGCCGGGACUACAGGUACAAGCCACCACACCCAGCUAUCCACAGCCAUAAUCUUUAUUUCCACAUAGGGUCUUCAGAUUUCUGUUUGCAUUAGUUAGAAAACUCAGGUAGCUUUUUUGACAUAGAUCACACCUCCUCAUGG
rnacentral:lncRNA from 1 species